CACAGGAAUAAAAGCUACAUAAAGCAGGUCGGUCAAAACCCUACAAAUCCAGAACGCAGAGCUCGUACCUAGCAAAUUUCCCUUCACGCAAACUUUCCUCAGACCCACUUUGUUCAAGGUCUAUCCCCAGUUUUUACUUCUACCCCCUCAAUUUCCUCCUAUUUACCACCCUCUCCAUGUUCUUCGCAAAUCCUUGUUCUUAUUUGGGAAUUAGGGUUUAAGGGGCUGUUGGUUUCUCAGAUCUACGUUUUAAUUGGCAUUUAUUUUUGUAUUCGUCGCCUUUUUCUGUUACUUAUCGGUCAUAGUUUUACUUGUUGAACUUGAACUCGACGAAAAGAUAUCAAGUAAAUUCUUCUAAUGGCUGGUCAGAGGAAUACUUAUGGUAAGCGUACCAAUUCUCAGUCUGACUAUUCUGACAAUGGAGGAAAUAAAAGGAGAAAUCCUGGUGAUGAUAGAGACCAAUUUGUUAUAGAUUCAGAAGAUACUGUGUACCGGUAUUUGUGCCCUGUAAGAAAGAUUGGAAGUGUUAUCGGUAGGGGAGGGGAAAUUGUCAAGCAGUUGAGGGCAGACACUAAAUCGAAGAUUAGGAUUGGUGAGACAGUGCCCGGAUGUGAGGAGCGUGUUGUUACAAUCUACAGCUCCAGUGAUGAGACUAAUUCCCUUGAAGAUAGUGGUAAUUAUGUUUGUCCCGCUCAGGAUGCUCUUUACAAGGUGCAUGACAGAGUUGUUGCUGAAGAUUUGCAUGGUGAUGAUGAAUCUGAUGGAGGUCACCAGGUUACUGCUCGGCUUCUUGUUCCAUCCGAUCAGAUUGGUUGUGUCAUUGGAAAAGGGGGACAGAUAGUUCAGAAUAUUCGCGGUGAGACUGGAGCCCAAAUUCGCAUUCUUAAGGAUGAACAUUUGCCUCCUUGUGCCUUGAGCUCCGAUGAGCUUGUACAGAUAACUGGGGAAGCUCCAGUUGUGAAAAAGGCCCUGUCUCAAAUUGCGUCUCGCCUUCAUGAUAACCCAUCACGAUCUCAGCAUUUGCUUACUUCUUCUGUGCCCAAUAUGUACGGAUCUGGUGGUUCACUUAUGGGUCCAUCUGCUGGUGCCCCGAUUGUUGGCAUAGCUCCACUGAUGGGUCCUUAUGGAGGAUACAAGGGUGAUACUGGAGACUGGUCACGCUCCUUAUACUCUGCUCCGAGGGAUGAGGGAUCUUCAAAAGAAUUUUCCCUUCGUAUAGUUUGUCCUACUGGCAAUAUUGGAGGUGUGAUUGGCAAGGGUGGUGUUAUAAUCAAUCAGAUAAGACAAGAAUCUGGGGCAGUCAUUAAAGUUGAUAGUUCGGCUGCUGAAGGAGAUGAUUGCUUAAUAACUAUAUCAGCCAAGGAGUUCUUUGAAGACUCGUAUUCUCCAACCAUAGAAGCCGCUGUGCGAUUGCAACCCAGGUGCAGUGAGAAAGUUGAAAGAGACUCAGGAGUUAUCUCAUUCACAACCCGCCUACUUGUGCCGACUUCACGAAUUGGCUGCCUUAUUGGUAAAGGAGGAGCUAUUGUGACUGAGAUGAGGAGAGUCACCAAAGCUAAUAUCCGCAUACUCUCAAAGGAGAACCUUCCCAAAGUUGCAUCUGAAGAUGAUGAGAUGGUGCAGAUUGCUGGAGACCUUGAUGUUGCCAAGGAUGCUCUUAUGCAAGUUGUCACACGCUUGAGAGCAAAUCUUUUUGAUAGGGAGGGUGCAAUGUCUACGUUUCUUCCCGUUCUGCCUUAUCUGCCUGUGUCAGCAGAUGGUUCUGAUGGUUUCAACUAUGAAAGUAGAGAUAAUAAAAGACAUGGACGUGGGCAUUCUUAUUCUGGCGGUUAUGGUGGCUCAAGUGAUAUGGCAGGUGGUGACAGUUAUGGAAGUUAUGGAGGCUCACAGAUUGGAGGUAGUGGCAGUGCUUAUGGAGCUUACGGAGGUCAUCCUUCGGGACGUACUAGUAAUACUGGGUAAGACGGGGGAGUUGACCUGUGAGUGGUGUGUAGCAUGCCAUUUGAUGGAUGCUUGGAUCUUCGCAUGCUAUGGGAAGCUGAUUUGGAGAUUUGUUGUGGGGUGGUUAAUGAUUCAUGGGGUUCUAUGAGAAUCCUCGUCGUUGAAGGCAGGUAAGAUCUCUGGCUAAGGACAUCAAAAGCAGGCAAGUUCUUAUUUGGUUUGCAGAAAUUUAAAUUGCAUAUGUUUUUAAGUUUUUAGUAUCUUUUUUUCUAGUUAGAUGAGUAACUGGUAAUUGCACUUUAUUUCAAUUGCGUGUGUGUUGCUGUUGUUGGCGGUGGCGUUUACAAGGAGGGAGGGAAAAGCCCCCCAGUGUGGACAGCCCCGUCCCCCUCCCCCUCCCCCGAAGUAUAAAUCCAGGAAAACCACCAAGUGGGUUCGCUAUAUAUGCUAGUUGUUUUCAAACUAUUUUAUAGUCUGAUUGAAGCUGUUGAUAUUAUUGAAUUAUUUUUGAGAAAUGUUGAGGUCUGAAUCCUAUGUCCUUCCA